AGCUAGUGCAGGUGGCUUUCCCCCACAGAAGCGGGAAGUGGUUCCAGGGCGACUGAAAGAGGGAGCAGGACUCAGGCUCGCGUGGAGAAACAUCAACAUUCCGAUACACUGUACAGAUCACCACUCAAGAUGAGGCUUGUCUACAUCCGGGCAGGCCCCGUGAAGCUCGUUGGUGUCCGAGGGAACCUGCAGUCAUACCAAUACCUAUUAAAUCAGAAUGGCAGGAUGGUCACCCCUACUCAAGGUGGAAAACUGGAG
rnacentral:lncRNA from 1 species